rnacentral:rRNA from 1 species
UGAACUGAGAGUUUGAUCCUGGCUCAGGAUAAACGCUGGCGGCGUGCGUAACACAUGCAAGUUGAGCGACGACAUUUCUGAAGUGGAGACAUGGAAGGGGUGAGCGGAGCAGCGGACGGGUGAGUACAACAUGAGAAGCUGUCCUGAAGCGGGGGACAACGUCUGGAAACGGACGCUAAUACCCCAUAGGCCGAGAGGUUAAAGCCGCAAGGCGCUUUAGGAGGUGCUCGUGCCCUAUCAG